GGUUCCUGUUCUUGCUGAGGCUGAGGCUUCAACGGCUAAACCACCCCAGAGGUACAUGAUGGGGCUAACCGAGGGGUCACCCUGGCAACCUGUGCGCAAAGCAGAACUUACUUGUCAUGACGGAUGAUGAUGGAUGGUCCCUGAGCUCAGUCAUGUUCCUCAGGGAACAGGGCACAUUGUAAAAAUGCAUCUCAGAAAACAUCUUUCUUCAAAAAGCAGCUUUGAACCCUAGAACACAUUUAGCAUGAUCUGAGGCAUCACCAGAAAUAGCAGCAGUGGGUCCUGGAAGCCGUGGCUGUCAUUUGAAUGGGACAUAAACAUGGGAGGAAACGGGGAUGAGGCGGCCGGUUAUGCCUCAUCCCUUCCAGCCCCCCCUUACGCACACAGGAAGUCACAGCCAGGACUGUCAUCUCUUCGGACAAAGGAUGAUGAUGUAAAAAGAGUCUGAAAUGUAAAGAUGGCAAAUACUCACCAUUAAGUCAUGUAAACUGCCUGCCUGACCCUUAAUCGUGUUCAUUCUUUUGAACCUGAACAUCUCAUCCUGUAAUUUCCUUGGUCGUAUAGCCCCUUCUAUUCCCUGGAAAUAAGACACACUUUCUUUUUCCCCAGCUUGGCCCCGCAAGAGUUAUUUUAGAAGGCUCCUAAAUCCAGUUUAAACGUGAAAAAAGGGAAGGUCUUUGAAAAGAGAUAUUUUUG